GCUGGCGGCAGGCCUAACACAUGCAAGUCGAGCGGUAGCACAGAGAAGCUUGCUUCUUGGGUGACGAGCGGCGGACGGGUGAGUAACGCGUAGGAAUCUACCUAAUGGUGGGGGAUAGCCCAGGGAAACUUGGAUUAAUACCGCAUAAGUCCUAAGGGAGAAAGCGGGGGAUCUUCGGACCUCGUGCCAUUAGAUGAGCCUGCGUAAGAUUAGCUAGUUGGUGAGGUAAGAGCUCACCAAGGCGACGAUCUUUAGCUGGUCUGAGAGGAUGAUCAGCCACACUGGGACUGAGACACGGCCCAGACUCCUACGGGAGGCAGCAGUGGGGAAUAUUGGACAAUGGGGGCAACCCUGAUCCAGCCAUGCCGCGUGUGUGAAGAAGGCCUUCGGGUUGUAAAGCACUUUCAGAUGUGAGGAAAGGUUACAGAUUAAUACUCUGUAGCUGUGACGUUAACAUCAGAAGAAGGACCGGCUAACUCCGUGCCAGCAGCCGCGGUAAUACGGAGGGUCCGAGCGUUAAUCGGAAUUACUGGGCGUAAAGCGCGCGUAGGUGGUUUCGUCAGUCAGAUGUGAAAGCCCAGGCUCAACCUUGGAAUUGCACCUGAUACUGCGGGACUAGA
rnacentral:rRNA from 1 species